CAGCUAAUUAACCUGGCAUCAUUAACCUGCAGAGUUAACCUGCCACGCCAGCCCUGCUCUGGGCAUCCCAACCAACCCAUUUCCAGCUGGUUCCCCCAGCUCAGAGCCCCCCAGCCAGCGGGGCUGAGCUCAGGGGAGUCAGACCCAGCUCAGCAGGCAGCAAAUGCUGUCCCUGGGGAAGCUGGAGGAGAGACAGGCCACAAAUCCCUGGUUUGUCUGUGCAGGAAAGGGCAGGACACAGCCCAGCAGCACUGCCAGGAAAAGGGGACACACAUCAGGCACGUUCCAGAGGGUCCCACAGGCAGCUCAACUCACACAGAGCUUCUGAGACUUCAGCUGGACCUUCCAGACCACCACAGACAGGUGUGGCAGGAGUAUUGGUCUUUCCUGGAGAUUUCCAGCCCUGGCUCCCAGCUCCAGAAGAAUCCAGAACAGAACUGUAAGAGUUGCUCACUGAAAUCCCACGAGAAAGAGUGAAAUAGGUGCCUGGGACUUGAGCUGACACCACACAGAGAACUUCAGAGUACAAGAAUGGAAUCUGGGGCAAAAAAAACAUUUUUAUAUGCUCAUAUUAAAAGCAGCGUGAACACAA